AUUUUUAUUUCAAAAAAAAAAAAAACUAAAAAAAAAAACAACUUUUUUAAAAAUCUACCAAAAAUUUGAAAAAAUCGUGUUUAAAGAUGAAUUUUUCAUUCUUUCUAAAAUCGGUUUUUUUGUUUUUUUUUUUUUUUCUGUGACUGAACAAAAUAAAACUCGGCCACGUAAGUGUUUGGAACCCAAAGAUACUGUUCGGUUUUAUAUUUUGGCAGUGGCCGAGUUUCUCACACGAGGCCGCGAAGAUGAGAAAACUCGGCCACAGAUUUUUUUUCACGGCCACGUAGAAAAUUUGUUUGUAGUUUGGAACCAAAAUUAAGAUUUACUGGUUCCGAAGUGGCCGAGUUUUUUUCUUUGGAGAAACCCCAGCCACCAAUUUGUUCCCCCUUUCCGCUAAAUAUCUAAAUUUUCGAUUGUUCUGCUCACACAAUUCCCCCAUUGUGGGCUGUACGAAAAAAUUAUUGACCCCCCUCUCGUUUAAAUCCUAGACCUAUUUUUUUCUAGCACCCCCUACCAUCACGUCACUCUGCACUGCUUCUCCACAUUCUCUCUCUAGCACGUCAACAUCUUCUCAGUUUUCUCUAGCACUCUCUCAAUGUCUCGCUCCCUGCUCUCACAUGAGCUAUUCGUCCUCGACACGACGCCAUCUGAGUGGGAGCUGUGUGCUCACUGAGCACACACAAAACCCCGACGACGACUACAACGACGAGGACGACUACUUUCACUAUCUAAAGACCCUCGGUUUUCCCCUCCUGCCCCAUCAUCAUCAUUUCGUUCUUUUUCCCCCUUCAUUUACAAUUUUCAUUAGAGCAGCGCUGAGAGCACAUAUGUGCUCUUGAGCUAGCUUUUCUAGUAUACUUUAAAUCCAAGGUUCUUGAAAAAAAAAGAUUUUGU
ensembl:lincRNA linc-136 ncRNA